GUCAGCGGGCGGGCAUUUCCUGCGGGUGCCUAGGGCCGACGGGGACGCUGGCACUGGUGGGGAGCUGUUGGGGGGUCCCGCAUCUAGGGCUCUCCUUUCCUGCCUCCGGCCCCCGCGAGGGGCGCGCGCCUCUCCCCGCCCUCCAGCAGUCCUGGUAGGGCCCGGGCGCGUCCGCGCUCUGCAGCGGGAGGUCCUCGUCGCCCCUCGUCUCCAGCCAGAUACUCACUGGGCUCCUGCCUGCCGCCUCCGGCCCAGGACGCGCAGCGUCGGUAUGGGCCCCGCCGCCUCCCCGCACCCCGGCGCUCCAGGGAUGUGGCAAGACCCGGCUUUGAGCACCACCCGGGCGCCGGCCCCGAGGCCGACCUAGCUCCGCACGUGGGCCGCGGGGCUCUGCCGUUGAAAGGGGAGCCUCUAACUAGGAGCACGCACGGGACCCUGGCGGGCCCCUCCGCCUGGCUCAGAUGCCUGGCAUCUCAGGCCUUGGCACAGCUAGCAGGCCCCUGGCAGCCCGUGGACCCAGCAGGCUGUUUUAGUGCAGAUUGCCCCUGAAUCUCAAGCCCACUAAUGUUCCAGUCUCUCCAUGAGACCCAGAUCCCUGAAAGUAGUGGAGGGAGGCGCCAGGGUGAGUGAGGUUUUCUAGGCAGCCCUUACCGCCCACGGAUACCCAGAGCUUCAUAUUACAAGUGAAGGGUCCUCCGCCCAGAGAGGCGACGGAGCUACGCUGGAGUUGCACGACAGAACCAGAACCCCAGUCUUUAGGGGUGUGGCAAGCGUGGGUCGCGCUGUUUGUAACUAGCUAAUCACUCCUGUCUACAGGCCUGUGAGGUGAGGCCAAGAAAAUCGCUAUGGUCCAAUCCGUUUUUGUUUUUUGCGUGUGGGGUUUUUUGUUUUGGUUUGGUUUGGUUUUUUUGUUUGUUUUGAGACGGAGUCUUGUUCUGUCGCCAGGCAGGAGUGCACUGGCGCGACCUUUGCUCACUGCAACUUCUGUCUCCUGGGUUCAGGCAAUUCCCCGCCCUCAGCCUCCUGAGUAGCUAGGACUACAGGCACGUGCCACCACGCCCAGCUAAUUUUUUGUAUUUUGGUAGGGACAGGGUUUCACCAUGUUGGCCAGGAUGGUCUCGAUCUCCUGACCUCGUGAUCCACCCGCCUCGGCCUCCCAAAGUGCUGGGAUUACAGGCAUGAGCCCCCGCGCCCGGCCAGUCCACUCUGCUUUUAACAAAUAUUUUAUUUCUCAGGGUGGGCAGCGUGUAGAGAAGUGAGUCAUUCCAGUCUCUGCCGGUUAGCACCUGCCAGCCUAAGUUGAGUCAACAGAGCCGUUAUGGAGAAUGUUCCCUGACCACAGUAUGUGACUAGGAUUUGGAGAUAAAAAAGAUAUGAUCCUCACCUUCAGGAGACCCUGUCGCAUAAGGAGACUGCCAUGUCAGUGACCAGCCACACGUGCAGUGACAAGUGUCUGGAAGAAGGAACAGUGCUGUACAGCACGGAGGACCCCCACACAGGCUCUGGACAGCAGGCGUCAGGUGCUGUACAGCACAGAGGACCCCCACACAGGCCUCGGGCAGCAGCCGUUAGGCUCAGUGGGUUCACAAACCACCCCCCCGCCCCGCCGUGGAGUGGAGUCUGCAGAGAGCCAGAUAGGUUCCCACCGUGCCCUGGAGAGCUGCCGUUUCUCCAGCUCCGCCCUGCCCAUGAGGCAAACAGCUGGUCGACUGGUCUUCUGUGCUGGUUCUUGGUUCUCACCUUUGUUUCCUACCAGAGCUGGACCCCGGCCUCAAACUCCAGCCAGCUUGGGCUGUGAUCCUCUAUCCUGGGCACCAGGGCUCCCCCGCCCACCCCAGCAGAGAUGCUGCUUUAUGCCUGCAUCCUCCCUUAGCACACGUGGCCUUCAUCUUCAGUUCUGGCGCCCACCUGAUCUGCCUCCUCCCACACGCCACCUCUAGAUAGAGCCCUAGAAAGUGAUGUUGGCCUGAAACUGAGUCACAUUCAUCUAAACAUUUUCCUGUAGAAAAGACCAGAUCCUCCUUGUUAAGAUAGGAAAUCUGUAGUGCGUUUAUGUGUUACCUGCACUCAUGAGGGAGAGGAGGGAAGGCCACCAACCUCCUCUCAACAAAGAGAAUUCAAAGUAUUUAUGUGUUGAGUUGUGUCACUUACGACAUGCAUAUCAGCUCCACUUUCUACCUAGGGUCAACCCUGGCCUCAAACUCCAGCCUGGUUGACCAAGAACUAAUACAAAGGGUACGGAAUAUUAUUUCUUAGAAUAUGACUGGGCAUGGUGGCUCCCACCUGUAGUCCCAGCUACUCAGGAAGCUGAGGUGGGAAGGAUGUGACAUGAGGGGGUCUGCUGGCUGCUGUGGUCCAUGGCAGGGGGGCAGCCCUGGUUUCAUGAACUCAGAACCCAGCCUCUGGGGGAUGGAAGCACUCUCCACUGGGCACGUGUGGUCCCUGCAGCCUGUAGCUUCAAAGCACGGUGACUGGUUCCAAGCCCAGUAUGGUGGAGAAGGAGACUAGGGCAGGAACCAGGGGGAUUCGGGGGUGGAGGAGGGAAGCCGCAGGGCAGUUGGUGGGUACAUCAGAUCCUGUGGACACGGUGUGCAGACCCGGAACCCCGGCAGAGGAGCAAGGAUUCCUUGGUGAGCAACUGAUCCCUUCAUCGAGACAAGGAAAGGCCGGGAGAGAGUCAGCACCAAGAGGAUGGUGGCCCUCGGCCUCCUGGUGCAGAGCAUCAGUCCCACGCUGGGAGUGUGGAGAGGUGCGUGGGAAGCAAGCCAUUGAGGAAGUGGGGCCAACAGAGAGGUCAGCAGCCCCUUAGCCCUCACGCUUCCAAGGAACAGAACGAUGGAGAAGCCUGCAGGCAGAAAAAAGAAGACGCCGACCCCGAGGGAGGAGGCAGACGUGCAGAAGAGCGCGCUCAGAGAGGAGAAGGUGUCCGGGGACAGAAAGCCACCUGAGAGGCCCACUGUGCCCAGGAAGCCCCGCACAGAGCCCUGCCUGAGUCCUGAAGACGAAGAGCACGUCUUUGAUGCCUUCGACGCUUCAUUUAAAGAUGACUUUGAGGGGGUUCCCGUGUUCAUUCCUUUUCAGAGGAAGAAACCCUAUGAGUGCAGUGAGUGUGGGCGGAUCUUUAAGCACAAGACAGACCACAUUCGCCAUCAGAGGGUCCACACUGGAGAGAAGCCCUUCAAGUGUGCGCAGUGCGGGAAGGCCUUCCGGCACAGCUCUGACGUCACCAAACACCAGAGGACUCACACGGGAGAGAAGCCCUUCAAAUGCGGGGAGUGCGGGAAAGCCUUUAACUGCGGUUCCAAUCUCCUGAAACAUCAGAAGACGCACACCGGGGAGAAGCCCUACGAAUGCACGGACUGUGGGAAAGCCUUUGCCUACAGCUCCUGUCUCAUCCGCCAUCAGAAACGCCACCCUCGGAAGAAGCCCUGAGCCGGGGCCAUCUGCGGACUCGGGCCCUGCAGUGCGAGCCUCGCCGGACACCUGCUCCGUGGCUUCCUCGUGUUCAGCGUCUGAUGGGGGCGCGGGGCCGUGUGCACUGUGUUCCGUGCUCUGGGGACCCCUGGAAAAUCAGCCCAGUCAGAUGUGGGAACGUGCCAGCGAGGGAGAGACCUUUCCACUGCAGAGAGUCUCUCUGAUCAAGACACCGCAGUGAUGGAGAAGCCACCAGAGGCUCCUUGCAGCCACAGAGCAUUUUCCAAGUUCCCGAUGGCGAACGGGGCUCAGCACCAGAGACCAGGGGGUAUUCACUGCCAUCCAUUGGACGUGUUUGGGUCACCUCAGAGCACCCAGCAGGAGAGGCUCCUGGUGUGGUGGGCAGCCCAGCACUUCCCGCUGCCGCCUGCCUGUGAUGUCCACUCUGCUUAAGCCUUUCAUCUGCCGCUGAAGGCCCCAGUCUGGACUCUGCCCUCUGGGUCCCCGAGCUCUGCAGCGAGCCCUGGGACCACUCGUCCCUGCCCAGCCAGCUUCAGUGCCCAGGGCCGCUUGUCCCUGCCCGGCCUCUGUGCCCCAACUGUGCUUGGUCCUCUGGCUUCUCUCCUCCUGCUGGAGCGCCAGUCCCUGAGCUCAGACCCCCGUCCCCGGAACUGGGCCACACCACGUGCCCUCUUGGCCCAGGCUUCCUCCCAGAGAGGCGGCCUGACUUACCUGGACGGACUUGGGACAAAGGUUCCUCAGGACCUUGGACACCACCACCUGCUGAGCUUCCCGUCCCAGCCACGCGGUGGGGCCCCUGGGGUGCCCUCGGCAGCUUCAGUCCAGCCUGCAUCUGCCCCUCGGCCUUCCGACGUGGGCAGUGGGCCCCAGCCCCACAGACCAGCCCAGCAUUCAGGCUGGUAGAGCAGAUCACCCCCAAAGCAAGAAGUUCCAGAUGAAAUAUGCAUAAGAAGCAGCCUCAAAACUAACAAAAAAGAUUCGCACAUUCCUCAGUUAGAGGAGGAGCAGAGAUGAAGAAAAGGAGAAGAAAAGCGCUGGAAAGAGAAGAAAAGGAACCUCCUUCUGUGCAGCAGGCUCCUGGCCCAGGGAGCGCGGUGUGCGGCAGAGUGCGUGCAGGGAAGCAGCCUCUGAAAUAGUGCAGGGAGGCACCCUGUGAAAUCGUGCAGGGAAGCACCCUGUGAAAUCGUGCAGGGAAGCACCCUGUGAAAUCGUGCAGGGAAGCAGCCUCUGAAAUCGUGCAGGGAAGCAGCCUCUGAAAUCGUGCAGGGAAGCACCCUGUGAAGUCGUGCAGGGAAGCACCCUGUGAAGUCGUGCAGGGAAGCACCCUGUGAAGUCGUGCAGGGAAGCAGCCUCUGAAGUCGUGCAGGGAAGCAGCCUCUGAAGUCGUGCAGGGAAGCAGCCUCUGAAGUCGUGCAGGGAAGCAGCCUCUGAAGUCGUGCAGGGAAGCAGCCUCUGAAGUCGUGCAGGGAAGCAGCCUCUGAAGUCGUGCAGGGAAGCAGCCUCUGAAGUCGUGCAGGGAAGCAGCCUCUGAAGUCGUGCAGGGAAGCAGCCUCUGAAGUCGUGCAGGGAAGCACCCUGUGAAGUCGUGCAGGGAAGCACCCUGUGAAGUCGUGCAGGGAAGCACCCUGUGAAGUCGUGCAGGGAAGCACCUUCUGAAGUCGUGCAGGGAAGCACCCUGUGAAGUCGUGCAGGGAAGCACCCUGUGAAGUCGUGCAGGGAAGCACCUUCUGAAGUCGUGCAGGGAAGCACCCUGUGAAGUCGUGCAGGGAAGCACCCUGUGAAGUCGUGCAGGGGAAGCACCCUGUGAAGUCGUGCAGGGGAAGCACCCUGUGAAGUCGUGCAGGGGAAGCACCCUGUGAAGUCGUGCAGGGAAGCACCCUGUGAAGUCGUGCAGGGGAGCACCCUGUGAAGUCGUGCAGGGAAGCACCUUCUGAAAUCGUGCAGGGAAGCACCCUCUGAAAUGCCUAGAAAUAGCUGCCGGGCUUUCACUUGGUUCCCAAAUUUCUUCAAAGGUCAAAACCAUCACAGUGGGCAACUUAACACCCCAGUGUUCACUGUCCUCAGGCCACUGCAGAGCCAUCCUAGUGGGGCAGUGGGCGCGGGGCGGGGGCUCCUGACUCCGGUGAGGUCACCCUGGAGGGGAGUCCCAGGAAUCAGCCUGAUGUUCAGAAUGCCUUCCUGGCAUCUCAGAAGUGUACUGGGGGAGACAUGAGGACCUUUCAGCCAAGUGUCAGCGUUCUUAUUGCAGGAGAACAUUAAAGCCACAACCCAGAAACUUCUCAGGAGCAUGGCGCACCCACACCAGCCCCGGGCUCCGCCUGGACAGCACCUCCUGGGCCACCCUGACCAGCAGACACCAUCCUUCCAGCCUCUCUUGGCCACCCGGACCAGCGGGCACCACCCUCCCAGCUUCACGCGGCCACCCUGACCAGCAGGCACCAUCCUUCCAGCCUUGCUCAGUCACCCUGACCCAGAGGGCUGCCCUGACCAGCGGGCACCAUCCUCCCAGCCCCACUCAGCUGCCCUGACCAGCGGGCACCAUCCUCCCAGCCUCACUCGGCCAGCCGAGCUCUGUAGGCCUCAGAGUGCAGAGAACCUCAAAUGUUGUGACUUUGCUCUGCUGCAGGGACCUGCCAUGAAGUGUCCCUUGUGCGAGCAUUUUGAGAGCUAUGCCGGCAUCCGUCCCCGCAGGCCCCAUCCCUGAGCCAUUUCUCAGGAGAGCAGGAAGGGAGCAGGGAGAGGGGUGCUCCCAGCCAGCCCCGGAACCAGAGGUCUGGGGACGCAGCCGGCCAGCCCUCCUUGUCUGGGCCUCUGUUUCCUCUUCGACACAGGGAAGCAGGGAGGGGCCGAUCAGCGACUUAGGCCUGUUGGCUGUGGUGGGGUCCACCUGCGUUUCUGGGGAGCCCACGGACCCUGGGGUGUACCUGGGUUUCAUUCCCAGUGACCUCUCCUAUUGGUCCCCAUUUGGGGCGCUGAGAUGUGAUCGUUUCUUUCCUGAGAAUAAGCUGACGUAAAAACAUGCUGGGGAGGAAGAUGGGCCCUGGGGGCAGCGAGCUGCGCCUCUGCACCGGGAGAAAGGCCGUGUCCCCAGAGCUGAGGCGGUGGUGGGCAGGGCUCCUGUGAAGCCGGGGCAGGGCAGGGUGUCUCUGAGGUCAGUGAGGAACAGCUGAGGUCCAGGGACGCGGGAAGGAUGGGGUGAACUCCGGGAUGGGGCCGGCAGGGAGCCUCAUGCUUACAGACCCUGGUGUCGGCACUCUCCUGGUGUCCUCCGCAAACCUAGCCACGUGGUCAGGGAGCCCGGGCCUAGCAGACGGCCCCCACCUUGACAGAAUCCCCAGGGUCGUGCGUGGCGGUGGGGGCGACUUCACAGCCGAGACCGGGCCUAACGCUGCUGUCCCGCAGUCACCCCUGCAGGCCGCUCAGGGCAGGGCUCUGGCCUGACGGGGGUUCCUGGACACGCCUCUGAGCCGGCAGCCCCUACCCACACCCCUGCAUCUGCCACGCCUGUCUCCAGCAGCCCCUGCCCGCACCCGCACCCCUGCACCUUCCACGCCCGUCUCCGGCAGCCCCUGCCUGCACCCGCACCCCUCACGGCUGUUUCCGGCAGCCCCUGCCCGCACCCGCACCCCUGCACCUCCCACGCCCGUCUUGCCCUGGGGCCCAGGUGCAGGUCUGUGAGGAGGGCAGCCCCGUGCUCCCGUGGCCACCGCUCAGCCAAGUGGAUUCAGCGAGGGUUUUCAGUGUUUGUGCCUGUGUCCCCGUGUGCCUGUUUCCUGGUGAGGCUGGACGCCUGGCAUGUCUGAACACUCACAUUCCCCAGGCAUGCAUGUGCAGCCGCCGCCGCCACCCAUGUACUGUGGCGCUGACCCCUCCUGUAACAGCUGUGGUCUUGGCCUCUCGUGUUGGUGGCAGAUGUCCCAUUUCCCAGUUACUUUCUGUUGUCCAAAAGUUUAACUGUCCUGCCUGCCAAAGCUGCUGAGCAUUACUCUGAUAGACCAUCAGUCCUUGGUAAGUGUCCUGUGCAUCUGGGAUAAGCAUCCGUUUGUUUUCAGCUGCGCUUUCUGUGACUUGCUCUGCGUGUGUCCUCGGUCCACGUGGGCCGUUGCGCUGGUUCCCAGCCUGCCCGACACACUCACUGCGACGCCUCCCUUGCCUACUGCUUGCUGGCUUCUGUGUUCUCUGCAGUAAACAUUGAUUUCUGACUCGAGUGCUGUCUUCAUUGAGCUCUCUGCACUCUGGGGAUGCAGUCAGCGACCCCACGAAGGCUACCGGCUUCCUCCCAGGGAACAGUGCAGGUGCUGCUUCCCAGGACCACAGGACCCUGGCUGGUCGCUGCCUGUGAUGGGUCUCCGCAAGACCACUCCCCAUUAGCCAGACUCACAGGAGACUGACACAUAAAUGAGAAAGUUGUUCACUAACUCACAAUGGGAGCAACCCUUUGCAGUGCGGAAAUGCCCUCAGCCUUUCUGGCCCCGGAUACCUGGGAAGCUAAGGGUUCAUUAGGUGGCCUAGUGCCUGCACUCAGGAUGCCCCAGAAGAGGCCCCGGGGGUCCUGAACGCCUUCUUCAGGCCCUGUCUUCAGCCCUUCUCCAGGCCCUCUGAGUUCCAAACAGCACUCACUUUUGUCUGGUCCUCUGUUCCCUGGCUCGCACCUCCUUCAUCAGGGCAGUUGCUCUCAACCAGGGGUACUUCUGCCCCUGGGGCCCACUCGGCAAUGUCCGGGACCGUGUUGGCGGUCACAGCUGGGUGGGGGCACCACCGGAAUCUGGUGUGCAGAGGCGGGGGUCCUGCCCAGACGCCAGAGGUGCUGCAGGUGAGAGAUACAGAUUUAGACCCUGUGACGACAAAGAAAAGGACGGGAAAGGUGGCUCUCAAGGCCCCAGGGAACCGCCCAGAGACGCCUGCGGUUCCAGAAGCUGGAAACGCAUGGAGCGGUGCAGGAACAAGCCUCUGCGGUGGCUGGAGAUGUCGGGAUGGAGACUGGUCAUGCCUUCACACACUUAACCAGAACCCUCCCAGCUCUCCCUCCCCCGCAACCAAGCCAGCAAGGCGACACGGUGGCUGGCGCUGGCGAGAGGCAAGUGUGCUCGACUGCCUUUCUCCACUCUUGAGGACAACACCCAGAGUGGCCCCGUCUUUGCCCCACCAGCCCAGGCCUAAAGCUUCCUCAUCAUCUGCAUCCCAGCCUGGGACUUAGGCGGACUUCUGCCAGCUGUGUCACGUGCAGGGGACUGCAGCCACUGACCCCCUCUCCCUUCUGUCCUGCUCUUCUCUACCCCACAGCCCCAGGCAGAUCUUCAGUGCAUGUCAGCUCUCCUCCCUCCCUCCCUCCCUGCAGACCCCUGUGCCCUGCAGUGCCCUGAGGAUGACGUCUGAGCCCCCAGUGGAGGUGUCAAGGCUGUUCGGUCUGUCCCCGUCCCGUUCUGUCCUCCCCUUGCUCACCACACUCCCCUGCCUGGUCUUCCAAACUCGAACCCCAGGCAACUCCUUCAGGCAUCAGACCUCUGCCCCUGCGCCCCUCCUGCCUCUCUGUGAUGGGCUGGCCCUUCCCUUCUGCUGCCUCCUCUCCCUCCUUCCUGCUCCCACCCCUAUCUCUCUCUGAUGCUGCCCCUUAGAGAAGCCUUCUUGGACCUUAAGCCUGGCCACUCGUCUAAGCCCCUCAUCUCCAGGUGUGGUCUAGGAAGUGCUCUCAGCCUCUCUACUCCAGUGGCUCGGGGGCUCUGACCAGCGCUCCUGCCAGGGAAGCUUUGAAGGUUCCCACAGGGACCCCUAGAGACAAGGGCACUGCCCGUCCAGAUGGCACCCUCACCCCAACCCCAGCAGCACUGGCUGGAGCAGGCCAUGCCUGUGUGGGUAUCUGAACAGGCACUGGAUUCCCUGAUCUCAACAAAAGAAGCCCAUGGAGGCCUUUUCUAAUCCACAGUCCAAGAGGACAAAUCAAGACAACAGGCUGGGGGAUCUGGCUGUGGGCCGACUCCCACGUCUUAGGACCAGGGGCUCUGGGGCUGUUUGGGCUGGAACCCCUCCUCCCAGCAUAACGAACACCAGCUCAUUAUUUACAGUGAAUACCCAACAAAACCCUGCUCGAGGUGAGGAUCGGGGACCUGCUGCUCCAACAGACCAGACUGGCUGCUGGCUCUGAGCUCAUUAAAUCAGCAACCUUUGCACUCCCUCCAAAGCCCUGCCCGUCACCUUCACCCCUUCCUGGUGGAGGAAGGGGAUUCUUCCACUCUGAUUACACCCGUUCCCAUCUCCCUUCACUCCUGUGAGCUGGCCAGGUUGAGGAUUUGUCCAAAGGGCCUGGGGAGUGAGACGCUCCACAGCUUCUCAUGGGUCAGCUGACAUGGACGGUAGCUUCGGUGACUCAGCUUCCCGUGAUGCGCUGGAUGCACAGGGGGCUGGUGACAACAGCCUCUGUGUGACAGAACAGCCUGUGCGUGUGACAGGACGUCAAGAACUACAUACAAAGACACAGCUGCCCCCAAAAAUGAGUCCGCACAGCCCGGUGCAAUGCAGCUGCAGCCUGUCAUCGAGUCAAUUGCAUUGUCGUCCGCCGCUCUCCUGAUGUAGUUCUGUGUUUGUCCAUUUUGCACUGCUAUAAAGGAAUACCUGAGACUGGGUAAGUUGGUGAGCGCCUGUAGUCCCAGCUACUCAGGAGGGUGAGGCAGGAGAAUGGCAUGAAUCCGGGAGGCGGAGCUUGCAGUGAGCCGAGAUCGCGCCACUGCACUCCAGCCUGGGCCACAGAGCGAGACUCCGUCUCAAAAAAAAAAGAAAAGAAAAGAAAAAAGAGGAGCUGGGCGCAGUGGCUCACACCUGUAAUCCCAGCACUUUGGGAAGCUGAGGUGGGUGGAUCACCUGAGGUCAGGAGUUCAAGACCAGCCUGGCCAACAUGGCGAAACCCCGUCUCUACUAAAAAUACAAAAUUAGCUGGGCGUGGUGGCGCAUGCCUGUGAUCCCAGCUACUUGGGAGGCUGAGGCAGGAGAAUCACUUAAACCUGGGAGGCAGAGAUUGCAGUGAGCCGAGAUCGCACCAAUUGCACUCCAGCCUGGGCAACAAGAGCGGCAACUCCAUCUCAAAAGUAAAUAAAGAACAAAAGGGGUUUGCUUGGC